rnacentral:misc_RNA from 1 species
UGGCUCUCGUAUCGAUGAAGAACGCAGCGAAAUGCGAUAAGUAAUGUGAAUUGCAGAAUUCAGUGAAUCAUCGAAUCUUUGAACGCACCUUGCACCCUUUGGUAUUCCGAAGGGUAUGCCUGUUUGAGUGUCAUUAAAUUCUCAAUCUAAAUAAUUUUUUUUAUUGGAUUGGAUUUGAGGGUUUGUUGGCUUGCAAAAGUCUGACUCCCUUUAAAUACAUGAGUGGCUUAAUUUGAUCCCCAUUAUUUGGUGUGAUAAAUCUUAUCUACAUCAUACAAUGGCAAAUAUUAGCUGCUUUCUAACUGUCCUUUGGACAACUUGAACCAUUUGACCUCAAAUCAGGUAGGACUACCCGCUGA